UACACUCCUACGGGAGGCAGCAGUGGGGAAUAUUGGACAAUGGGCGCAAGCCUGAUCCAGCCAUGCCGCGUGAGUGAUGAAGGCCCUAGGGUUGUAAAGCUCUUUCACCGGUGAAGAUAAUGACGGUAACCGGAGAAGAAGCCCCGGCUAACUUCGUGCCAGCAGCCGCGGUAAUACGAAGGGGGCUAGCGUUGUUCGGAUUUACUGGGCGUAAAGCGCACGUAGGCGGACUAUUAAGUCAGGGGUGAAAUCCCGGGGCUCAACCCCGGAACUGCCUUUGAUACUGGUAGUCUUGAGUUCGAGAGAGGUGAGUGGAAUUCCGAGUGUAGAGGUGAAAUUCGUAGAUAUUCGGAGGAACACCAGUGGCGAAGGCGGCUCACUGGCUCGAUACUGACGCUGAGGUGCGAAAGCGUGGGGAGCAAACAGGAUUAGAAACCCGGGUGGUCC
rnacentral:rRNA from 1 species